GGGGGAAACCCCAUCCAUGGCAGACGUAUCUAUCCAUGUCUGGAAAAAAAGUCCAUUCCUGGGAGAAGAGAGACUUCUCUGCAUUGACUAGCAGUCCCAAAGCAUUGAAUGUUGACUACAUUAGAGAUACCUAAUACAGAGUACCUGCCUCUUGGAUCAGCCCUUGACAAGCCAGUUGUACAGAUAGAGAACCUGACAAAGAGGUAGAGCAGAAAAAUGGUGCAUCUGCUGAGGUCAGUAGUGCUUUCUGACUGGGGCAGGAAUGUACAAACCCAAGGAUUUUAAAGUGGCUCUUGAGUCCUCAAGCACAUGGUGCUUACAGUCCAUCUGGCCUGAGAACAGAGAAGGACACUCAAAAGGAAAGUUCUGAAUACUAUUCUGGACUUCAUAGGGGAGACCAGAAGACUGUAACCACAAGUCAUGGCUCUAGCUGCUGAGUCUGCCACACUCUGCACAGCAUGCAGUGAUGUUCUUGCUACUUGUCUGCCCUUGUUCAUCAGAGAACAGAACUCUUGCCUAGCACUCUCAGGAAGCAGUUCUUUGAACUUUUCCCUAGAUCCCCAUAAUUUAAAAUCAUAGUGU